rnacentral:piRNA from 1 species
UGGGGGCAAUUAUAUCAUUUCCAUGUUGC